UGCCUUCUUUUUGGUAACAAUGAUGCAGAUUAAUAAACAAUUCUGAUGUUGUUAGACUCUAAAACACAACGACCGCCUUUGAACUAUUUGAAUACAGCACUGGUUUCUGCACAACAAAAGCUUAAUAUCAAAAAGAAGGCAGAUGUUACCAACAUCAAAAAUACUUAACAUAAUUACUAAAUGCUACCAUCUCCUUUCCUACAGUGAGAACAAAUUGGUUCCUUUCUACUUGAUGCCUCCUCGUUGGACCUGGCUGGUUAAUUUUGAUGUUUCAUUUGGAUUUCUGUUCUGGUUAAGAAGCACAACUCGUGCUUAUUCACAAUCAAAUUUUGUGAGAACAAAUUGGUUCCUUUCUACUUGAUGCCUCCUCGUUGGACCUGGCUGGUUAAUUUUGAUGUUUCAUUUGGAUUUCUGUUCUGGUUAAGAAGCAUGACUCGUUCCUUUUCACAUUCAAAUUUUGUGAGAACAAAUUGGUUCCUUUCUACUUGAUGCCUCCUCGUUGGACCUGGCUGGUUAAUUUUGAUGUUUUAUUUGGAUUUCUGUUCUUGUUAAGAAGCACAACUCGUACUUAUUCACAAUCAAAUUUCAGUGAUUUACCAAGAUAUGGGUCAAGAAGCUUUAUGC